CGGAGAUUGCAGUGAGCCCAGAUCACGCUACUGUACUCCAGCCUAGAUGACAGAACAAGACUCUGUCUCAGGAAAAAAAAAAAAAAAAAAAAAAAAAAAGAACCUCUUAGAAUUGUGCUGUCCAGGAUGGUAACUCCAGUCACAUGUGGAUAUUGAACUCUUAAAAUGUGAUGAGUUCAACUCAGAUACUCUGAUAUCUAAAAGACCGUCUGGAUUUCACAGACCUAGAUAUUUCAUGGAUACAUUUUUUUUCAUAUUGCUUACAUGUGGAAUUGACAAUAUUUUGUAUAUAUUGUUAAUAAAAUUUUCUUAUAAUCAAUUUUACUUUUAAAAAACUGUUAAAAAUGUGGAUCCUAGAAAUUUAAAAUCACAUAUAUGGCUUACAUCUGUGGCUUGCAUUCUAUUUUUAUCGCAUGGCUUUGUCUUUAUAUCAACUUAUCCAAUGGCCAGCAAACUAUGGCCUAUGCAUCCAAUCCAGCUAUUCUUUGUUUUUGUAAAUCAAGUUACAUCAGAAUACAGGUACAUCCAUUCCUUUGUAUGUUGUUCAUGUGUGUUUUCAAACUUUAAUGGCAGAGUUGAGUUGUUACAAAAGAGAAUGUUUGAAGCUUGGCAUAUUUACUAUUUUUUACAAACUAGAAAAAGUUUGCAGACCCCUGAUAAUCCAACUCUGUCUGUAUUUUACAGGGGAGAAAGCAAAUCCCAAAGAGGGAAAAUGACUUGCCCAAAGGCACAUAAACACUCCAGAAUGGGGCAGGGUUUCACCCUGUACCUGCUCCUUAAACUACGCUGUACCUCAGUUUGCUCAAUGGGACUGAGACAGCAAAAGGCAUUCUACCUACCAGUGUGGGCUCAGCCUCCAUUUCACAAUGAGUCACUUAGCUCCAUCCAAGGGCACAAGAAGGAUCUGAAGAGAGAGCACAAAGAAAAGGGUCACAGAGAAGGCCGGGACACACCUUGGUCGGGCGGCAGGGAACCUGCUCUCAGAUGUGAGCUAAUUAGUGAGCAGCACAUCAAAAGAAGUGAAGUGUAUCUUGUAAAUAGGAUUUCAUUUAAAACAGAUCAAAGAAAGAUUUACUGAAUCGCUCCCUCAUCCACUGAUUUCUCCAAGCAUCAGGCGGACGGUGAAGAGAACAACAAGUCACCAGCAUGAUAAAGACAGCUCCGAAAGAACAACUGUGAUGCUCAAGUCAAAUAUUAAUGAGGAGAGACAGCCAAAUAUAUCCAGGGGAGGAAUUCUACCUCUUGGGACAUUCACAGUUGGGUUUCUGAUGUAGGCCAGGAAGGCAGUAAUCUAUGUUUGUGACCCAGUCUACUUCUAAAGCUACAAGGUUGAAAAUAUGGUCUCUAGACUCUGUUCUGACUGCCUGGCUGUGUGACCUUGGGCAAGUUGCUUAACCUCUCUGAGCUCACUUCUCUUAUCCAUAAUGUAUAAAUCCCAGUCCUUUCUCUACUCACUUCCCAAGAGACUUGUAAAGAUCAAGUAAGUUGAUUAAUGUGACAGGGUUUGGAAAAAAUUUAAAAUGGCUAUACAAAUGUGAAGCAUUUUUGGCAUUAUUAACGAGGUCUCCAUAGGCAGAAUAAAUUAGAAGACCAGAAAAGUUUCCCAGAUGAUUUUGGCCAAAAUUCCAGCUCCUGAGGAAAAUAGCAUCCCAGUGGGCUGCCUGUGCAAAUCAGAUUUGCAGCAUCAUUGCCCAAGCCCCCUUUCUCCUGUGAUGACAGUGAGAAAUUAGCUUCCAAAGAAGAAACGAUUAAAACUGAGAAAGGAGAUGAAAACAUCUUUUUGUUUUCCUUUGAAGUUCCAGAUUUCUGAACAUGGCAGAUUUUGAAAAAACAGUCUUGUCCAUCUAAGGUUUAUUCACAUUUCCUCCAGCUUAGAAGGACAAAUGGAACCAAGUAGCUCGUGAUUGACAGUGAGAAAUGUCCUUUGACUUGAAUUUAAAAUGAAAACUGAUAUAAAGGAAAUCAGUAAAUACAAUUUUUGCUACAAAAAUAGCUUCAUGUUAUUUUUCUGGUGGUGGUUGUUGAACACGAAGAAUUUCAAGGUGGAUGAGGAAGUAGGUAGGAUGUUUCCUAAAGAAAAGGCCUACGCAGAGAAACAAAGGCCAGCUUACUCCUGCAAGCAAGAGCAGGAGCACGUUUAGAGAGAGGUACACUUGGAUCUGGGCAUCUUCCGGUCGGGGAGGAGGUGACUCUAGGCACUGCUGGGAAGGCCUCAGUCCCUUUGCAUAUCUACUGUACUUGGUAACAGUAUCAACCCCGAGCUGAGGACUAGGUCCAUGGACACUCUUAGGUCAAAGACAUGAAAGCAUCCUCUUUCUUUUCUGAGCCUCACCAACCUGGGAAGGUGCACCUCUUCCUAGAGGGAAGAUCACAUAAGAGAUAAAAAAAAAGGGGGGGCCUGAAAAUAACCCUCCCAUAGCUUCAGACAAGCCGGAAGGUCCAGAUGAAAACAGGGGCUGGAGGGAAGUGGAGGGAGUCCUAUUCUGAACAGUGGGACUUCAGGCACUAUGGCACUUGGCAGAGGUAACUUUUUUUAAAAAAAUUAAGGUAAAAUUUAUAUCAUAUAAAAUUAGCCAUCUUAAAGUGUGCAUUUUGGUGGCAUUUUAAUACAUUCACAAUGUUGUGCAACCAUCAACUCUAAUUCUCAAACAUUUCCAUCACCCCUAAGGGACACU
ensembl:lincRNA